UUAAGUGACUAAGCGUACAAGGUGGAUGCCUUGGCAAUCAGAGGCGAUGAAGGACGUGCUAAUCUGCGAAAAGCUUGGAUGAGUCGAUAAGAGGCGUUUAAUCCAAGAUAUCCGAAUGGGGAAACCCAGUAGAUGAAGAAUCUACUAUCACUUACUGAAUACAUAGGUAAGUGAGGCAAACCGGGAGAACUGAAACAUCUAAGUACCCCGAGGAAAAGAAAUCAACCGAGAUUUCGUUAGUAGCGGCGAGCGAACGCGAAGGAGCCUGUUAGUGAUAAUGACAGAGACAGAGGAACAAGCUGGGAAGCUUGGCGAUACAGGGUGAUAGCCCCGUACUCGAAGUCCAGGUCAUGGUACUAAGCUAACGAUAAGUAGGGCGGGACACGUGAUAUCCUGUUUGAAGAUGGGGGGACCAUCCUCCAAGGCUAAAUACUCCUGAUUGACCGAUAGUGAACCAGUACUGUGAAGGAAAGGCGAAAAGAACCCCGGUGAGGGGAGUGAAAUAGAACCUGAAACCUUGUACGUACAAGCAGUGGGAGCCCUUUAAGGGUGACUGCGUACCUUUUGUAUAAUGGGUCAGCGACUUAUAUUUUGUAGCGAGGUUAACCGAAUAGGGGAGCCGAAGGGAAACCGAGUCUUAACUGGGCGUCUAGUUGCAAGGUAUAGACCCGAAACCCGGUGAUCUAGCCAUGGGCAGGUUGAAGGUUGGGUAACACUAACUGGAGGACCGAACCGACUAAUGUUGAAAAAUUAGCGGAUGACUUGUGGCUGGGGGUGAAAGGCCAAUCAAACCGGGAGAUAGCUGGUUCUCCCCGAAAUCUAUUUAGGUAGAGCCUUGAGCGGACACCUUCGGGGGUAGAGCACUGUUUCGGCUAGGGGUCCAUCCCGGAUUACCAACCCGAUGCAAACUACGAAUACCGAAGAGUGAUACUCAGGAGACACACGGCGGGUGCUAACGUCCGUCGUGGAGAGGGAAACAACCCAGACCGCCAGCUAAGGUCCCAAAGUCUAUAUUAAGUGGGAAACGAAGUGGGAAGGCUUAGACAGCUAGGAUGUUGGCUUAGAAGCAGCCAUCAUUUAAAGAAAGCGUAAUAGCUCACUAGUCGAGUCGGCCUGCGCGGAAGAUGUAACGGGGCUCAAAUAUAGCACCGAAGCUGCGGCAUCAGACGAAAGUCUGUUGGGUAGGGGAGCGUUCUGUAAGCGGAUGAAGGUGAAUCGAGAGGUUUGCUGGACGUAUCAGAAGUGCGAAUGCUGACAUAAGUAACGAUAAAACGGGUGAAAAACCCGUUCGCCGGAAGACCAAGGGUUCCUGUCCAACGUUAAUCGGGGCAGGGUGAGUCGGCCCCUAAGGCGAGGCUGAAAAGCGUAGUCGAUGGGAAACGGGUUAAUAUUCCCGUACUUGGAUAAACUGCGAUGUGGGGACGGAGCAGGUUAGGUUAUCGCACUGUUGGAUAUGUGCGUUUAAGUUUGUAGGUGUGAAGUUUAGGCAAAUCCGGACUUCUUUAACACUGAGAGAUGAUGACGAGGCUCUACGGAGCUGAAGUAACCGAUACCACACUUCCAGGAAAAGCCACUAAGCUUCAGGUUUAUCUAAACCGUACUGAAAACCGACACAGGUGGUCAGGUAGAGAAUACUCAGGCGCUUGAGAGAACUCGGGUGAAGGAACUAGGCAAAAUAGCACCGUAACUUCGGGAGAAGGUGCGCCGGCGUAGAUUGUAGUCCCUAGCGGGCGAAGGUUGAACCGGUCGAAGAUACCAGCUGGCUGCAACUGUUUAUUAAAAACACAGCACUCUGCAAACACGAAAGUGGACGUAUAGGGUGUGAUGCCUGCCCGGUGCUGGAAGGUUAAUUGAUGGUGUAAUCGAAAGAGAAGCUCCUGAUCGAAGCCCCAGUAAACGGCGGCCGUAACUAUAACGGUCCUAAGGUAGCGAAAUUCCUUGUCGGGUAAGUUCCGACCUG
rnacentral:rRNA from 1 species